rnacentral:rRNA from 1 species
CCUACGGGUGGCAGCAGUAGGGAAUAUUGCUCAAUGGGGGAAACCCUGAAGCAGCAACGCCGCGUGGAGGAUGAAGGUUUUCGGAUUGUAAACUCCUUUUGUUAGAGAAGAUAAUGACGGUAUCUAACGAAUAAGCACCGGCUAACUCCGUGCCAGCAGCCGCGGUAAUACGGAGGGUGCAAGCGUUACUCGGAAUCACUGGGCGUAAAGAGCGCGUAGGCGGGAUAGCAAGUCAGAUGUGAAAUCCUAUGGCUUAACCAUAGAAGUGCAUUUGAAACUGUUAUUCUAGAGUAUGGGAGAGGUAGGUGGAAUUAUUGGUGUAGUGGUAAAUGCCAGAGAAAUAACGCAGAAUACACAUUGCGAAGGCAGCCUGCAGGAACAUAACGGACGCUGAUGCGCGAAAGCGUGGGUAGCAAACAGGAUUAGAUCCCCGUGUAGUC